CACAAUGCCCCGCGUCCAGAAGAAAGUAGUGGCGCAGACACAGUAAACUCCCAGAAGAGGAAACGCUAAAAUGUGCAUUUAGAGUGUCAGUGAAGUCAAGAAGAUGAGUAAACCUGAGGUAGGAGCAGCGUCUUCAGCGGUCAGUUGUCUGUCUGUGAAAACCAACCAAUCCAAAGAUGAACCUCCAGACCUGAGCAAUGAUCCCAGACCUUUAGGAACAAGUGUCAGUGAAGUCAAGAAGAUGAGUAAACCUGAGGGAGGAGCAGCGUCUUCAGCGGUCAGC